AGAUUGAACGCUGGCGGCAUGCCUUACACAUGCAAGUCGAACGGCAGCACGGGAGCAAUCCUGGUGGCGAGUGGCGAACGGGUGAGUAAUAUAUCGGAACGUGCCCAGUCGUGGGGGAUAACGCAGCGAAAGCUGUGCUAAUACCGCAUACGAUCUCUGGAUGAAAGCGGGGGACUCGCAAGAGCCUCGCGCGUAUUGGAGCGGCCGAUAUCAGAUUAGCUAGUUGGUAGGGGUAAAAGCUCGACCAAGGCGACGAUACUGUAGCUGGUCUGAGACGGACGACCAGCCACACGUGGAACUGAGACGACGGUCCAGACUCCGUACGGAGCAGCAGGUGGGAAUUUGGACUAGUGGGCGACGAAGCCGUAGACGUCCAGUAC
rnacentral:rRNA from 1 species